rnacentral:lncRNA from 1 species
CGCUGUCAUGGAUGGUGAAGUAGGGACGGAAGUCGCAGCAGAACCUGAGGGGCUGCAGGCAGCUGUGGGCAGAGAGCAGGAUGGUCUCAAAGCCCAGGCUCCCUUGCAGACUUGUCCAGAGGCAGAGAAGGCGGCCUCAGGCAGUGAAUCUCUCCUGACAGCCUCUCCUUGACACCUGUCUUUCAGAACCUCCUGCCCACUGUGCCUAUUUCCACUGGCUGCAGACAUGUGGGCACCUGCUUCCUCUUCUAGACAAUUCUCCCUCCUUCCUUCCAGAACUGUCCCAAGGGGUACUCAGGAUGAGCGCUGCCUCCCUUGGGCAGUCCCCACAUGGCGCUGGCCAUACACACACACACGUGCACACGUGCACUCACGCAGACACACACGCACACACAUACUCACACACAGAUGCACACAUGCACGUACAUGCACGUGCACACACAGUGAGCUCCUCAAAAGCAGUGUGCAGAACCCUAGGGGGCUCACCUGAACAGGUCCAGCUCGUGGACGCUAGCAAGAACCACUGGGGCUGGCAGCAGGUUCUGAGAGGAGGAGAGUGAAGGUCAGGGCCAAGGGGAGGCUGGCACCCCUUGGGCCCCAAGCAGCCCCUGCCUCACAGCACAGGGGAAGGUGGAGAGCACCCAGCCCUACACCAACACACAGCCUGUGGCUUUGCCUGGGUUUGACAACCCCGCAGGGUGAACCAAGGAAGCAGGUGUGGGACCACCCGGCCCAGGAGCA